ensembl:lncRNA
GCCCCGUCCUUCCGCGGGUCCCGCUGGCAGCGCUGCCGAAAGCCCCCGGUCCCGCUUCACGGAUGGUUACAGGAAGAGCUCGGCAGCGGUUUCCUACCGUCGAGCGUUACAGAAUUGCAUGGGUUGGAGGAGACCUCUGGAGAUGAUCAAGUCCAAACCCCUGCUAAAGCAGGUACCCUACAGCAGAUCACACAGGAGCCUGACCCCAUGGACUUGACUCCCACACUUCAGAUAUUUAUGAACAGCGAUGGGAUUUCUUCUCAGCCUUCUCUUCUCCAUGCUGAACAGCCUUCUCUCAUAAAGGAGAUGCUCCAGGACCCUCAUCAUCUCUGUGGCCUUCCGCUGGACUCUCUCUAGAAGUUCCCUGUCUUUUUUGAACCGAGGAGCUCAGAACUGGACAUAGUACUCUGGAUGUGGCCUCACCAGAGCAGAAUUGAGGGGGAAGAUCACCUCCCUUGACCUGCUGGCCACACUCUUUUCAAUGCACUCCAGGAUACCAUUGCCCUGCUUGGCCACCCAGGCGCACUGCUGGCUCAUGGCCAACCUGUUAUCCACCAGGACCAUUAAGUUCUCCUCAGAGCUCCUCUCCAGCAGGUCAGCCCCUAACCUGUACUGGUGCACAUGGUUAUUCCUCCCCAGGUGCAGGGCACUACACUUGCACUUGUUGAACCUCAGCAGUCUGAUCAGGUUUUGUUGAAGGGCAGCACAGCCCUCUGGUGUGUCAGCCAUUCCUCCCACCUUUGUAUAAUCAGCAAACUUGCUGAGGGUGGAAUCCCCUCAUCUAGAGUGGUCCCUACUGAUCAUUCUGACGUGGUGCUAAAGUGGCCAGAGUGGACCAGUACAUCAGAUCCACAAAGUGUGGAUUUAUUCAGAAGUCUAAAGAUCUCUCAAUACCCUCUUCCCCUUGCUCAUUACCACUGGCUUGUGCAAUGCUGAACUGGUGCCAGUCAUGUGGUUGCAGCUAAGUGGUUGUGUCCUCCUCCACUCAUACAGCAGGGAUGCAUCUGCUCUAGAAACAGGGAAGACUACAUAAAAAUACAUUUCGGCUAAUUUUGUUCUGAAGUACUCUAGGACACUGCAGUAGUAGAACUUAUUUUAGAUGAAAAUUGCACAUCUGCAAAGAUUUCUGCAUCAUCCCGAUAGUGUUCUGGCAUCUCCAUUUCAGCAAUUCCCUCAGUGCAAAGUGGAUUUUGUGAAAAGAAAAUACACAUGAGUGGAUUGCCACCUGCAGCUUAGUUUUCUAUGAAUCUGAAACAGUGACUCAGUACUCAAAGAUAUUGUUAGAUAAUAAUAUACCACUUAUAUGUGUGUAUAUAUAUAUAUAUAUGUGGAUGCCUUUAUGCUGUUGAUGUUUUUUUUCAUGGUCUCUCUAGGUUAGUAUUUCCUUAUCAGUUUUAAGUUCUGCAUCUCUACUUCAAAUAAGAUGAGAUGGAGUCCUUGAUUUCAGUUGCUAUAUGCUUCUCUUCAUCCUUCCCAACUAAACAUGGAGCUUUGUUGGAUACCAGCCCUCUUCUGGAAUCUUGCCAAAAGCAGGUGCUUCCUACAACACGUGAUGGCCUGUUUGAAAUAACAAAUUCUGUUAGGCAACAAUGGAGAAGAAAGAAAAACCAGAUACUGGGUGGGCAUUUUGGAUCACAGUAAUAUAAGGAAGCCUAAAGUUGUGUCUCUCGCCUAACUCCUCGGUGUCUCCAUAUCCAGAAAGGUGGAUGGAUCUCUCUUUGCAGUGACCAAGAAGGCAGAGUUCAUGGUGCACUUGGCAGACCUUGCUGGGUUGUUCACAGGUUAGAUAUGAGGAGGGUUCAUUACCCUGAAAUGAUGGUUUUCUGCUUUAAACUCAUUUGUGUUAAGGUAGGGAAAGAAUGAUUCUGCUACCAGGUCAAUCACCCCCAAUUCUCUUCUUGUUUCUUUUUAUACUUGGGCUCAAUUUCCUCCUUCUCCCCAGAGUUGACAUCUCAGUUAUAAGGAAAUCCAUAAAUUUUACUUCCUUUUAGAGCUGCCAAGGUUGUGUAUGGUUUGCUUUUUUUCAUGGUGAUCAGGGUGCUGUUGAGAGCAUUUGAACAGGCUUACAUACUCUCUUUUCUCUGCACAGAUAGCAAGGCUUUAUUCUGUAGCCUCUAUAAAGCCACAGAAAAGCUCCGUUUGUCAGUGAUGGAAAUUAGUGGAUACCUUUGUUCUCUCAGUGAGUGCCAUAUCCAAAAAAAAAUCAAGUUGUGGAGAUUCUCUUGCAAAUUCUAAUUAACAGUCAGGAUGGAUUCUGAAAUAGGUGGGAAACGGGAAUGUAUUCUGGAAUAUUUUUGCAUGAUAUGCCUGGUGGUACGUCAGGAUUGUGCAUUUUGAAAAGUGCCAUUGACAUCAGUGAAGGGAAUGCAGUGAAUUCAGUGAAUGCUGACACAGACAAUGCGAUUGGAACCAGAAAUAAAGGACUGAAUUGAUUUCUCCUAAUUUAGAUACCUUCAGCUGAGCUAGCCUUGAAUGUACCCAUCUCCACUGAGUAUAAAGGGACCCUAGGGUGACUUGCUCAUAUGUAAAGGUCUAUACUCUGGAAUGUUUAAUAUUAACUAAAAUUAAUCUUACUC